CUCCUACGGGAGGCAGCAGUGGGGAAUCUUGCACAAUGGGGGAAACCCUGAUGCAGCGACGCCGCGUGAGCGAUGAAGCCCUUCGGGGUGUAAAGCUCUUUCGACGGGAACGAUAAUGACGGUACCCGGAGAAGAAGCUGCGGCUAACUACGUGCCAGCAGCCGCGGUAAUACGUAGGCAGCAAGCGUUGUUCGGAGUUACUGGGCGUAAAGAGUGCGUAGGCGGUGCCCUAAGUCUGUUGUGAAAUCUCCCGGCUUAACUGGGAGGGUGCGGUGGAAACUGGGGUGCUUGAGUGUGGGAGAGGUAAGCGGAAUUCCUGGUGUAGCGGUGAAAUGCGUAGAUAUCAGGAGGAACACCGGUGGUGUAGACGGCUUACUGGACCACGACUGACGCUGAGGCACGAAAGCGUGGGUAGCAAACAGGAUUAGAUACCCUGGUAGUCCACGCCCUAAACGAUGCAUACUUGGUGUGAGCCAUUCAUUUGGUUCGUGCCGGAGCUAACGCGUUAAGUAUGCC
rnacentral:rRNA from 1 species